rnacentral:tRNA from 1 species
GCAGGUGUGGUGAAAGAGGAUCAUCGCGGUCUCCAAAACUGCUGUUUCUGGUGCAAAUCCAGACGCCUGUG